rnacentral:lncRNA from 1 species
CACCUACAGCCCCUCGAGCGCUCUGUGCGCUGACAGUAACAUAAACAACAUUGACAAAACGAGACAAUGCAUUUUAUUAAGGCAGCACCUGCACAAGACACAGCACUGUGUGCUGAUGUUCAAGGACUUUCUCUUAUGAGACUACUGUGGAACUUCAUCAGACAUGUCAUCGAUCCAGUAGGACGUAUUCUCUUACUUUUUGCUUCCUGCCGGCCAUAUGUGCGAGCUCGUUUCUGUGUCAUGUCACCAAUACUUCCUCUGAAUCCAUCCGGAAGACCUAUCAUCAUGUACAGUAUACGGUUACACUGCUGCUACUCAGCUGUAUAUCCCCCAUCACUGGUGAUGCCACAACAAAAGGAGGGUAAAGACUAGCAGCACAUGCCUCCUCCGACACAUGUGAAGUCACCCACCGCCUUGCCGAGUAGCAUCACAGCGCACUCGGAGGAAAACGCAGCGACUCGGUUUCCGAUACAUCAGCU